rnacentral:rRNA from 1 species
AUUGAACGCUAGCGGGAUGCUUUACACAUGCAAGUCGAACGAGUGGCGGACGGGUGAGUAAUAUAUCGGAACGUGCCCAGUAGCGGGGGAUAACUACUCGACAGAGUGGCCUAUACCGCUUACUGUUGGAGCGGCCGAUAUCGGAUUAGCUAGUUGGUGGGGUAAAGGCUCACCAAGGCACCGAUCCGUAGCUGGUUUGAGAGGAAGAUAGGCCACGCUGGGAAUGUGACACGGCCUGGACGCCUACGGGAGGCAGGAGUGGGGAAUUUUGGACAAUGGGGGAAACCCUGAUCCAGCCAUCCCGCGUGUAUGAGAAGGCCUGCGGGUUGUAAAGUACUUUUGGCAGAGAAGCGGUAUCUGCAGGAUAAGCACCGGCUUACUUCGUGCCAGCAGCCGCGGUAAUUC